CCUACGGGUGGCAGCAGUGGGGAAUAUUGCACAAUGGGGGAAACCCUGAUGCAGCGACGCCGCGUGAGUGAAGAAGUAAUUCGGUAUGUAAAGCUCUAUCAGCAGGGAAGAAAAUGACGGUACCUGAGUAAGAAUCCCCGGCUAACUACGUGCCAGCAGCCGCGGUAAUACGUAGGGGGCAAGCGUUAUCCGGAUUUACUGGGUGUAAAGGGAGCGUAGACGGCUGUGCAAGUCUGGAGUGAAAGGCGGGGGCUCAACCCCCGGACUGCUAUGGAAACUGUAAGGCUGGAGUGCAGGAGAGGUAAGUGGAAUUCCUAGUGUAGCGGUGAAAUGCGUAGAUAUUAGGAAGAACACCAGUGGCGAAGGCGGCUUACUGGACUGUAACUGACAUUGAGGCUCGAAAGCGUGGGUAGCAAACAGGAUUAGAUACCCGAGUAGUC
rnacentral:rRNA from 1 species